CCUACGGGUGGCAGCAGUGGGGAAUAUUGCGCAAUGGGCGAAAGCCUGAAGCAGCGACGCCGCGUGAGGGAUGAAGGUCUUCGGAUCGUAAACCUCUGUCAGCAGGGAAGAACGGUCACUGUGCUAAUCAGCAGUGAAUUGACGGUACCUGCAAAGGAAGCACCGGCUAAUUCCGUGCCAGCAGCCGCGGUAAUACGGAGGGUGCGGGCGUUAAUCGGAGUUAUUGGGCGUAAAGCGCUCGUAGGCGGUAUGUCAAGUCAAGGGUGAAAUCCCCGCGCUCAACGUGGGAACUGCCUUUGAAACUGGCAAACUGGAGUGUGUGGGAGGAUAGUGGAAUUCCAGGUGUAGGAGUGAAAUCCGUAGAUAUCUGGAGGAACAUCAGUGGCGAAGGCGACUAUCUGGCACAUAACUGACGCUGAGGAGCGAAGGCGUGGGUAGCGAACAGGAUUAGAUACCCUGGUAGUC
rnacentral:rRNA from 1 species